rnacentral:rRNA from 1 species
UUUGUUACGUCGGAUGUGAAAACCUGAGGCUCAACCUCAGGCCUGCAUUCGAUACGGGCAAACUAGAGUUUGGUAGGGGAGACUGGAAUUCCUGGUGUAGCGGUGGAAUGCGCAGAUAUCAGGAGGAACACCAAUGGCGAAGGCAGGUCUCUGGGCCAAUACUGACACUGAGGAGCGAAAGCCUGGGGAGCGAACAGGAUUAGAUACCCUGGUAGUCCAGACCGUAAACGGUGGGCACUAGUUGUGGGAACCUUCCACGGUUUCUGCGACGCAGCUAACGCAUUAAGUGCCCCGCCUGGGGAGUACGAUCGCUAGAUUAGAACUCAAAGGAAUUGACGGGGCCCCGCACAAGCAGCGGAGCAUGCGGCUUAAUUCGACGCAACGCGAAGAACCUUACCAAGGCUUGACAUAUAGGGAAAAGUGGCAGAGAUGUCAUGUCCGCAAGGGCUCUAUACACGGUGGUGCAUGGUUGUCGUCAGCUCGUGUCGUGAGAUUUUGGGUUAAGUCCCGCAACGAGCGCAACCCUCGUUCUGUGUUGCCAGCAUUUAGUUGGGGACUCACAGGAGACUGCCGGGGUUAACUCGGAGGAAGGUGGGGAUGACGUCAAAUCAUCAUGCCCUUUAUGUCUUGGGCUGCACGCAUGCUACAAUGGCCGGUACAGAGGGCUGCAAUACCGUAAGGUGGAGCGAAUCCCAAAAAGCCGGUCUCAGUUCGGAUUGAGGUCUGCAACUCGACCUCAUGAAGUUGGAGUUGCUAGU